rnacentral:lncRNA from 1 species
AGAAGCCCCAAUGACAGGCUGACAUGGACCUGGUCUCCAAAGACCACAUCGUGUACGUUUGUACCAACUUCCUGCAAAAUUAUCAAGAGCCUUAGAAAUAUCCAUUCCCCUUGACUCAAUGAUUGGACUCACAGAAAUAGCCCAUGGUACUAGCAAAUACGAAGAAUGAAAUGCUCACCAUCCAAGCCUGCAGAUGGAGAUGAAUUAGAUUUUAGAAGAUUGAUUGCCGUGUGAACUGAUGGCCAAAACACUCUGGAUGUUGGACCAGCCAAUUUCUGAAUCCAACACAGCUGCCAUGCUCCGUCUUUCAUGGGAUAGGAGGCAUGGGUUGCCAUGUUUCUAACUGGAGGAGGAGACCUGGGGACUCUGGGUAGCUCUGAAAUUUGAACACCAUGAUUUGCUUGCAAGUUGCCCAGAGCCUCUGGGACUAAAGCCAAAAAGGUCAGCACCAAAAGUGAGUAUUCUUUUCGCUUAACUUUUAUUCGGACUCCUAAACCAGGGCUCACUAUCCACUCAAACCUAAGACAUUAAAAGGAGGAUCUUCUGAAACAAAACUCAGGGCUACAAACAAGAGAGACAUUCUGUUAAAUAUAAUAAAGUAUCAGAGAAAUAUGGGUAUGGAAUUUGUCUUUGCAGUAUAAAGAAUUUUCCUCUCUUCCCUCCACCCCCACUUAGUGUGGAAGUAGACAUUGGUGAUGACAAAUGACAGCCCACAAGAGGACACACAAUGGUGAGGGAUAAAGGCACUAAGCUCUGAACUGUGUAAGUAGUUAUAUCCAUGUUUAUAAAAUUUUGUGGAUCAAAUUCCUCUUUAAGACAUGGAGGAAAGAUACGAAACUUCUCCUUGAAAAA